AAUGGGUGGAAAAAGGAGUUUGUGAGCAUUCUUGCUAUGUCACAAUGUUGGACAUGUGACUUAAGAGAAGCAUGUGACAGGUCAGUGUGAUUGGACCAUUUGAUUACCAAGUCCAGACUCUAGAGUGGCUCAGUGGCCAAUGCUGCUUUUUUAAACUGUUAACUGAAACAUUGGUAUGACGGAAGAUCUAUGAAUAAAAGACCUAAAAUCCUUUUAAACGUACUAUUUAUUGGGACAUCCUGAAGGACUGGGGGAAUCCUUGUUCCCGUAUCAUCUCCCAUCUUGCACUUGUUGAUAAUUGUUCGACAUUCAUUCGGCAUUUACUGGAAGCUUCCAGAUGGCGGACAGCGUGCAAGGUGUCUGAGAUGGCAGAAGGAAAAUACAGAGGAACAGGCUGUAUCUCCUCACUCGGGGUACCUGUAUGAAGGCUGCUUCACUCUGGAGGUUUGGACCUGUGUGGGCAUGUCUGGUAAAAUGAUAGGAUGGAUCUGCUGGGAGAGGACUUGUAGAAUACUGGGGACCUUAGCGAGAAAAUUCCUGAAGGUGGAAGACUAUAGAAAUGGUAAUAAGGCCUCAGCUGUUAUAAGAGAGGGGUGACUUCAGUACUUGUGGUAAAGAGGCAGGAUAGGUAGGGUCAAUUGGUAAGAAAUACAGGAGAUAUAUUUGUGUAGAUCACUUAACAGUAGUAUGUAAUCAGUAAAUACUCAUUAUUAUUUGUAUUAUAGUACUCACCCCAGGCUGUCCCUAUAAAAACACAUAUGCAGAGACCUAAGAGACAAAGUGUGAAGAUGCGGAGGUCUUCAUCAGACCAUAUAGAUGUCCUUUAAUGACCUUAUAGAUUGCUAAAUGUUACCAAUAAAUGUUAAUAAUGAUAA